rnacentral:lncRNA from 1 species
UAUCUGAGAGUCCUAGUGCGUCCCUCUGUGUCCUGGAGAGUAGAGUAGAGCAGCUCCCACCAGUUCAGCUUCAACACAAACCAUGUUCCCUGCAUCUCUGCUGCAGCUUUCUCCUGUAUUUACUAUGAAGAACUCACUCAGCCAGCCUCUAUGACUGUCCAGCCAGGUCAACCACUGACCAUCUCCUGUGAAUUGUCUUCCAUCCUGAAAAGAUGACAGGCAAACUACACCUCCUCCUGGUCUUGCUGGGCCUCUGCAGUGUGUACUCAAUAAUCUAGCAAUUUAUUGGAACAAAGUAUUUUACAUAUAGAGAUAAUUAUAAUAUCCAUUGAGUUAUAUCUCUCUGGUCACCCCCAAAGCCAAUUCUUCCUUUGGCCGUCUCUCCUUCCAGUUCUCUGCUGCCAAUGACUGGAACGAACUACAAAAAUCACUGAAACUGGAAACACUUAUCUCCCUCACUAGCUUUAAGCACCAGCUGUCAGAGCAGCUCACAGAUCACUGCACCUGUACAUAGCCCAUCUAUAAUUUAGCCCAAACUACUACCUCUUCCCCUACUGUAUUUAUUUAUUUAUUUAUUUAUUUUGCUCCUUUGCACCCCAUUAUUUCUAUUUCUACUUUGCACUUUCUUCCACUACAAAUCUACCAUUCCAGUGUUUUACUUGCUAUAUUGUAUUUACUUUGACACCAUGGCCUUUUUUGCCUUUACCUUAUCUCACCUCAUUUGCUCACAUUGUAUAUAUACUUAUUUUUCUACUGUAUUAUUGAUUUUAUGUUUGUUUUACUCCAUGUGUAACUCUGUGUUGUUGUAUGUGUCGAACUGCUUUGCUUUAUCUUGGCCAGGUCGCAAUUGUAAAU